rnacentral:rRNA from 1 species
UUCGGUCUGGUGGCGAGUGGCGAACGGGUGAGUAAUACAUCGGAACGUACCCUGUUGUGGGGGAUAACUAGUCGAAAGAUUAGCUAAUACCGCAUACGACCUGAGGGUGAAAGUGGGGGACCGUAAGGCCUCACGCAGCAGGAGCGGCCGAUGUCUGAUUAGCUAGUUGGUGGGGUAAAGGCCCACCAAGGCGACGAUCAGUAGCUGGUCUGAGAGGACGAUCAGCCACACUGGGACUGAGACACGGCCCAGACUCCUACGGGAGGCAGCAGUGGGGAAUUUUGGACAAUGGGGGCAACCCUGAUCCAGCAAUGCCGCGUGUGUGAAGAAGGCCUUCGGGUUGUAAAGCACUUUUGUCCGGAAAGAAAUCGCUUCGGUUAAUACCUGGGGUGGAUGACGGUACCGGAAGAAUAAGCACCGGCUAACUACGUGCCAGCAGCCGCGGUAAUNNGGUCGAGCGUAAUCGGAAUUACUGGGCGUAAAGCGUGCGCAGGCGGUUUUGUAAGACAGGCGUGAAAUCCCCGAGCUCAACUUGGGAAUUGCGCUUGUGACUGCAAGGCUAGAGUAUGUCAGAGGGGGGUAGAAUUCCACGUGUAGCAGUGAAAUGCGUAGAGAUGUGGAGGAAUACCGAUGGCGAAGGCAGCCCCCUGGGACGUCACUGACGCUCAUGCACGAAAGCG